ensembl:snoRNA
GAGCAUCCUUAAUAAACCCCCUGGUUGCCUUUUGUGGCCUCUGGGACAAGAACGGGUGCAAGAUCAACCUUAGAAUCCAAAGCCAAGAGCCUUGUGUCAGUAGCUCUGGGUUAUUUCACCUCUAAGACAGAA